UCCUGCCAGUAGUCAUAUGCUUGUCUCAAAGAUUAAGCCAUGCAUGUCUAAGUACAAGCCUCAGUAAGGUGAAACCGCGAAUGGCUCAUUAAAUCACACCUAAUCUACUGGAAAGUAAGCAGUUACUUGGAUAACUGAGCUAAUUGUUGAGCUAAUACACGCUAAAAAUCCUGACGCAAGGAGGGAUGCUUUUAUUAGAUCAAAACUAGACGGCUUUGCUGUUUUUUGAUGACUCUGAAUAUCUUUGGGCUGAUCGUAUUGCCUAGUGCAGACGACGUUUCCUUCGAAGGUGUGCCCUAUCAAA
rnacentral:rRNA from 1 species